rnacentral:lncRNA from 1 species
CAUACAUGUUUAUACCAUUUAUAUGUAUUAACUCACACACACACAUACACACAUUGAUAUCCACACAACAGACAAACAAACAAUUGUUAUUUUCAGGUUUGGAGCUGAGUGUAUACUUAAGGGUGGGCGGGGAUGGAUGGGUGGGUGUAGGAAUGCCACAGUGGCUGAGGGAAGUAACGCUUGGUAUAAUGCAUUUAACAUUGACUGCGGGAUUUAUUUUAAAACAUAUUAUUAUGAUGAUGAUGCUGGUGUAUAUGUGUGCCUGUGUGUGUGUUUAUAUAUAUAUAUAUAAAGCUGAAAAUCUGAAAGGCUGCAAUUUCAGUACUCAGUGACUGGUUUCUGAUAAUCAGCUGGUAAAAAAAUGAGUCCUGUAAUUUGUCACUUCUGAUCAAUCAACAGAUGUAUAUAUAUAUAUAUAUAUAUAUAUAUACAAACACACACACAUACAUAUGUAUGUAUGUAUAUAUUGAAUAUUUGGCAUUCAUUCAAGAAUAUAUAAUAAACUUUAUCUUAAAUUUGUGAGCAAGAUGAAUGACUUGAUCUUUGUAUGUGUGUGUAUAUGUGUUUAUAUAUAUAUAUAUAUAGUGUGUGUGUGUGUGUGUGUAUAUAUAUAUGGAGGGUGAGGUUGCAACAUUGGUAGGGCAGAGGAGAAAUUCUCUUGUGGUAUUACGUCCCAUUACAUUCAAAUGAGUUCAAAGAAUCCUGCCAAGGCCAACUUUGCCUUUUGCCUUCAGAGCUCAAUAAGACUUGUACCAGUUGCAUACUGGGGUCAGUAUAUUUGAUUAUAUAUAUAAUAGCCUUUAACACUGUGGCCCAGAAUUUCCACAAUUUAAUACUUAAAACUAGUAAUAUAUAUAUAUAUAUAUAUAUAUAUACACACACAUACAUAUAUACACAAACGCAUACAUGAACAUAUGCAUACACAUUAUGUUGAUCCUGUGCGAGAUGGAGAUAAUGUAUGUAUGUGUGUAUAUAUACACGGCACAAAAUAUGACUGAAUGGUGCUUUUUGAUUCAUAUUAGUUGGUCUUGUUGAAAAGUUAGGGGUUCAAUUUUCAGCAAGGCUGCUGUAGAAUUUUGUUGUUUAAUAGUUGAUCACUUUGAUGUUUUUUUUUUAAAAUUUUUCCUCUCUAUCUUUCUUCUCUUGUGUGUGAGUGUGUGUAUGUAUCUGUGCAUGUAUGUGUUUAUGUGAGUGAAUUUGUACUUCCCCUCACCUUCAUAUGUGUUUUCUGAUUGUAAAGAAUGCCCUUGCUGUCCUUGCAGACAGUGUUGUCUACUUGCAGUUUACUUGCAAAAGCACGUAUGGGCUUCUCAACAUAUUGUGCAAUCUUUGUUAAAAAACAAGGCACAUUCAUAGUGUUGUUUGUUUCCAGUUCUCUGUGUAACACAAUGUUCAGGCUGUUGAUUGUUUGAUAAACUGGUAGAUUAUUACUUUGUUUGGAAUCAAGUGGGUGCUUGGCAUCAGGAAAGGGCAUCUGUGUAUAGAAAACUUGGAAUUCUGGUUUAAAGCACCCCAUAUAACCCCUCAUAACUUUUAUUAAUUCUUGGAAUUUUCAAAGAAUUUUUGUGAAUUUUGUAUUCUAUACAGUAAUUAUUCUAUGAUUGUGCAAAAAAAAAAAAAUUGUGAUUUAAGGGCAAUUUAGCUGUUGUUUUUAGCACCUUCCACAACCAUUUGAUACCUUCGUCACUCUGACAUGUAUUGAUGUUUUCAAUAAUUUUUCUCCGCAUAAACAUUUACUGGAAUGAUGAUGCACCCAAGGGUGGUCCGUUGCUGGGAUUUAAGCAAAAAAUUCAGGCUGUAUUUUAAGGUGAUUAAAAAAAAAAA